rnacentral:rRNA from 1 species
UACGUAGGGUGCGAGCGUUAAUCGGAAUUACUGGGCGUAAAGCGUGCGCAGGCGGUGAGCUGUGUCCGAUGUGAAAGCCCCGGGCUUAACCUGGGAAUGGCAUUGGAAACUGGCUCGCUGGAGUGUGGCAGAUGGGGGUGGAAUUCCGAGUGUAGAGGUGAAAUUCGUAGAUAUUCGGAAGAACACCAGUGGCGAAGGCGACUCACUGGACACAUAUUGACGCUGAGGUGCGAAAGCGUGGGGAGCAAACAGG